rnacentral:rRNA from 1 species
ACGGAAGGCAGCAGUGGGGAAUAUUGCACAAUGGAGGAAACUCUGAUGCAGCAACGCCGCGUGAAGGAUGAAGGUCUUCGGAUCGUAAACUUCUGUCCUUGGGGAAGAAACAAAUGACGGUACCCUUGGAGGAAGCCCCGGCUAACUACGUGCCAGCAGCCGCGGUAAUACGUAGGGGGCAAGCGUUAUCCGGAAUUACUGGGCGUAAAGGGUGCGUAGGUGGCUUUGCAAGCGCGGGGUGAAAUACAUCGGCUCAACUGGUGUUAGCCUUGUGAACUGCAUUGCUUGAGUGCAGGAGGGGAAAGUGGAAUUCCUAGUGUAGCGGUGAAAUGCGUAGAUAUUAGGAGGAACACCAGUGGCGAAGGCGACUUUCUGGACUGUAACUGACACUGAGGCACGAAAGCGUGGGGAGCAAACAGGAUUAGAUACCCUGGUA